GGGCUAUUAACACAGGUUUGAGUCAGGCUGACCGGAGCUGUAAAGCCCUUCUCGUUCUCACUGUGUGUUCUUUUCAGUUCUGUCUUCCUGAGGCUGCUGUUUCUGGGCAUGGCCAGGGGAUCUUCAGACUUUACAAACCAGUUGUGCAGAGCCAGGCAUUUCAAUAAGGAACAAAAUGCUGAGUAACAACAUGAAGUCAGAGUGUUGCUUGCCAAGAGCUGGGAGGCCUGGGUGGUUUCCCAAUCUUAAAGAAGCAGAAGGAUAUUAAAGUGAGCCUCCCAAAGGAAAACGUGGAUCUACUUACCAACGCAGAAAAUGAUACACACGGAUUCGAUUUAGGCACGCUACAUUCAAAUGACUUGGAAGAGCAGGUUCUCUGAGCCAGGAUACUAAAGUCCCUGUUUAGGAAAGAGCCACGUUGUAUGUUUACCCUACCACAAAGAUACAGUGCUGGCAGAGGAAACAGCAGCAAUGAUGCUCUGCGAGCCUGACUCAGGGCCAGCAGUGAUGGCAGCCCAAGAAUUCUGGAGGAAAGUGGCUCUGGGAAUUGAACAGUGGCUCAGUGAUGUUGGGGCCACCAAGUCUGCAAUUCUCCCUACCUGUUCUUCAUGGUUGUAAGAUGACUGCUGCAAUUCUCGGCAUCAUGUGCAUGUUAAUGUCAGGAGGAAGAAAGGAAGAGGGAGCACUGGGAUGUUACAUUCAUUUUGUCAGGAAAAGCAAAGCCUUUCCAGACAGCUCCGAAACUUGCUUACCUCUCAUUGGCCAGCACCAUCACUUGACCACUUGUCCACUCCUAGCUGCAAGGAAAGUGGCAAAGUAGAAGGUAUUUGAGAAUGUCUGCUGGGUUAGCCAAAACAAUAGUGACUUCUACACCCAAUUUUCUGGGCACUGCAGAAGUAUCCUUGAGUCCUAUGUGAUCAGAGGGAGAGCAAACCUCAAUAAUGAAACAGAUUCAAUUUCCAUCACCCAGUGAGACACCAUGGGAUUAGAAUAAAUUUUUAAAAAAACAAAUUGAAAAAAAUGCAUUUUUAAAACAACAAAAUCAGAAAGGAUGAAAGGUGAUAUUUCUAGCAUAUCAGUUUGUGGUGGUAAAUUAAUUACCUUAUACAAAGGCCUCAGUGACUUUCUUCUCCUUACCUAACGAAUCAUCUUUAAAAUAAGUAAAAUAAAGAAACAAGAGCAGCAGCAGAUGCUUCCUAAAAAGAAGUUACCAAAUCUGUUCACCACAAACCUGAGAAUUCAACUGUGGACAUUUGGACACCAGCAAUGAACAUGAAACUCAGCUUAUGAGGCAUAUUUGGCUAAAGGUCAAGGUGACUUAAAGUUCAUCAUAGGACAUCUACAAUUUGCAAAGCAGGUGACUGGAUAUGGACUCCUUCCAAGUCUCAUUUAAUUGGAUAAUGCCUACGUUUUAAGUAUCAGAAGUGAGUCUUUCUCUAUUAAAUGAAGUCAGUUCCACUAAAACCUAAAUCUUGUUUGGCAGGCACUCCAUGUUUCUUAAUUUUUAUUCCAUGCUGUAUAUUCUUUUAGACUUGAUUUUCACUUUUUUUUCUUUUUUCCUGUACAUUUAUCUUUGCUGUGAAACAAAGUGCCCUGCUUUGAAGGACAGGUUUGUGGGCUGCUGGUGGUGAGACAACAGCAGUCCUUCCAAGUCUUCCUCCCAUCACUCUGUUAGCUCUCCCUUUGUUUUUAAUUAGCAUUACACCAGUUAAUUCUGUUAUCUCUUAACCCUGGUUCUGCAUCCUCUUCUUCUUUUCUAUUCCUUACUCCGCUCCUGUUUUUUCUUGUUCUGCUUUUCCAAGAAAUGUCUUGUCUCCUCAUCAGUUGACUGUCUUCUCUUUCCAGAGGGACCAUAAAGGUGCCAGCCUAAGGAACACGUAAAACGUGGGAACAGACAAACAAGCUGCUGCCUAUUACAGAGAUAGAUAAUUAACUUUGGACCAUUACAUGCAAUUCAUCAGCUUAUCUUUUUCAAACUUUAUAUAAGAAGUCAUUUCCCAAUGGUAACCACUUGCCAGCUGCAACUUUGACGCAUAUUAUCAGGAUAGGUGAGAUUGAUGGGGGCCCUUUGAACUCUUCCCAGGGAAUUAUCUUUAUAAUGUUACAGUUUUCUCUAUAGCAUGGUCAUAUUGUUAACAUUGGUUAUAAGGUCAUAUGGUUAGUAUGGUUAGUAUUGGUGGCUCACAGCUGUAAUACCAGCACUUUGGGAGGCCAAGGUGGGAGGAUCACUUGAGCCCUGGUGUUCAAAACCAGCUCUGGAAACAUAGCAAGACCUUGUCUCUACAAAAAAAAAUUAAAUAAAUUAAAAGAUUAGCUGGGCAUGGUGGCACAUGCCUGUAGUCCUCACUACUUGGGAAACUAAGGUGGGAGGAUCCUUUGAGCUUGGGAGGUUGAGGCUGCAGUGAGCUGUGGUUGUGCCAUGGCACUCCAGCCUGGGUGACAGAGUGAGAGCCUGUCUCAAAAAAAAAAAAAAAAAAAAAAAAAA
rnacentral:lncRNA from 1 species